rnacentral:rRNA from 1 species
GAACUGAAGAGUUUGAUCCUGGCUCAGAUUGAACGCUGGCGGGAUGCUUUACACAUGCAAGUCGGACGGCAGCACGGGCUUCGGCCUGGUGGCGAGUGGCGAACGGGUGAGUAAUGUAUCGGAACGUGCCCAGUAGCGGGGGAUAACUACGCGAAAGCGUGGCUAAUACCGCAUACGCCCUACGGGGGAAAGCGGGGGACCUUCGGGCCUCGCACUAUUGGAGCGGCCGAUAUCGGAUUAGCUAGUUGGUGGGGUAACGGCCUACCAAGGCGACGAUCCGUAGCUGGUUUGAGAGGACGACCAGCCACACUGGGACUGAGACACACGGCCCAGACUCCUACGGGAGGCAGCAGUGGGGAAUUUUGGACAAUGGGGGCAACCCUGAUCCAGCCAUCCCGCGUGUGCGAUGAAGGCCUUCGGGUUGUAAAGCACUUUUGGCAGGAAAGAAACGGCACGGGCUAAUAUCCUGUGCAACUGACGGUACCUGCAGAAUAAGCACCGGCUAACUACGUGCCAGCAGCCGCGGUAAUACGUAGGGUGCAAGCGUUAAUCGGAAUUACUGGGCGUAAAGCGUGCGCAGGCGGUUCGGAAAGAAAGAUGUGAAAUCCCAGGGCUUAACCUUGGAACUGCAUUUUUAACUACCGGGCUAGAGUGUGUCAGAGGGAGGUGGAAUUCCGCGUGUAGCAGUGAAAUGCGUAGAUAUGCGGAGGAACACCGAUGGCGAAGGCAGCCUCCUGGGAUAACACUGACGCUCAUGCACGAAAGUGUGGGGAGCAAACAGGAUUAGAUACCCUGGUAGUCCACGCCCUAAACGAUGUCAACUAGCUGUUGGGGCCUUCGGGCCUUGGUAGCGCAGCUAACGCGUGAAGUUGACCGCCUGGGGAGUACGGUCGCAAGAUUAAAACUCAAAGGAAUUGACGGGGACCCGCACAAGCGGUGGAUGAUGUGGAUUAAUUCGAUGCAACGCGAAAAACCUUACCUACCCUUGACAUGUCUGGAAUCCCGAAGAGAUUUGGGAGUGCUCGCAAGAGAACCGGAACACAGGUGCUGCAUGGCUGUCGUCAGCUCGUGUCGUGAGAUGUUGGGUUAAGUCCCGCAACGAGCGCAACCCUUGUCAUUAGUUGCUACGAAAGGGCACUCUAAUGAGACUGCCGGUGACAAACCGGAGGAAGGUGGGGAUGACGUCAAGUCCUCAUGGCCCUUAUGGGUAGGGCUUCACACGUCAUACAAUGGUCGGGACAGAGGGUUGCCAACCCGCGAGGGGGAGCCAAUCCCAGAAACCCGUCGUAGUCCGGAUCGCAGUCUGCAACUCGACUGCGUGAAGUCGGAAUCGCUAGUAAUCGCGGAUCAGCAUGUCGCGGUGAAUACGUUCCCGGGUCUUGUACACACCGCCCGUCACACCAUGGGAGUGGGUUUUACCAGAAGUAGUUAGCCUAACCGCAAGGGGGGCGAUUACCACGGUAGGAUUCAUGACUGGGGUGAAGUCGUAACAAGGUAGCCGUAUCGGAAGGUGCGGCUGGAUCACCUCCUUU